rfam:Myotis davidii contig15315, whole genome shotgun sequence.
GGUGGUUCUUGGUGAUGCACCCUGGAAUCGGGCUCCCUCCUCUCUGGCUCCAGGUGCGACACCUGAGAACCGCA